GCCUGGGUGGCUCAGUCGGUUAAGCAUCCAACUUCAGCUCAGGUCAUGAUCUUGGGGUUUGUGGGUUCAAGCCCCACCUCGGGCU
rnacentral:tRNA from 1 species